rnacentral:piRNA from 1 species
UACCAUAAUGCUGAUAGUGUGGUAGCCU